rnacentral:tRNA from 1 species
UCCGGUAUGGUGUAUCGGCUAGCAUCGCCCGCUUUCAUCGUUCCCUUCGCCGGGCAUCGAUCCCGGGCAGAGCCGGGUUCGACUCCCGGUACCGGAA